rnacentral:rRNA from 1 species
CUACGGGGUGCAGCAGUUAAGAAUCUUUUACAAUGCGCGCAAGCGUGAUAAAGCGAACCAGAGUGAUUUUCCAUUUUGGAAUAUCUUUUGCUCACUGUAAAAAAGUGGGAGAAUAAGGACUGGGAAAGACUGGUGCCAGCCGCCGCGGUAAUACCAGCAGUUCGAGUCGCAGCCACAUUUAUUGGGUCUAAAACAUCUGUAGCUUGUCGUGUAAGUCUUUUGUGAAAUUCUGUCUCUUAAGGGCAGAGCGAGCAGAAGAUACUGCGCGGCUAGAGACCGGAAGGCGUAAGGAGAAUGCAAUGGGUACCAGUAAAAUGGGUUGAUCCUUUGCAGACUAACGAUAGCGAAGGCACCUUACGAGUACGGAUCUGACAGUCAGAGAUGAAGGCUAGGGUCGCGAAAGGGAUUAGAUACCCUCGUAGUC